UACAGAGGGGGCAAGCGUUGUUCGGAAUUACUGGGCGUAAAGGGCGCGUAGGCGGCCCGUUAAGUCGAACGUGAAAUCCCCGGGCUCAACCCGGGAACUGCGUCCGAUACUGGCAGGCUUGAAUCCGGGAGAGGGAUGCGGAAUUCCAGGUGUAGCGGUGAAAUGCGUAGAUAUCUGGAGGAACACCGGUGGCGAAGGCGGCAUCCUGGACCGGUAUUGACGCUGAUGCGCGAAAGCCAGGGGAGCAAACGGG
rnacentral:rRNA from 1 species